rfam:Picea glauca, whole genome shotgun sequence.
AUGUACAUUCCUACAACAUUCUUGCACUGGAUCAUAUUAGAAAUCUGCAGUUAAGAACGUUUUCACUAGUGUAGUACUAGGAUUGGGGACCUCCCGAUAAGUCUUAGUGUUUUACAUG